rnacentral:rRNA from 1 species
UUACGCUAAUACCGCAUACGAUCUAAGGAUGAAAGCGGGGGAUCGCAAGACCUCGCGCGAUUGGAGCGGCCGAUAUCAGAUUAGGUAGUUGGUGAGGUAAAGGCUCACCAAGCCAACGAUCUGUAGCUGGUCUGAGAGGACGACCAGCCACACUGGAACUGAGACACGGUCCAGACUCCUACGGGAGGCAGCAGUGGGGAAUUUUGGACAAUGGACGCAAGUCUGAUCCAGCCAUUCCGCGUGCAGGAUGAAGGCCCUCGGGUUGUAAACUGCUUUUGUACGGAACGAAAAGGUUUCUAUUAAUACUAGGAGCUCAUGACGGUACCGUAAGAAUAAGCACCGGCUAACUACGUGCCAGCAGCCGCGGUAAUACGUAGGGUGCAAGCGUUAAUCGGAAUUACUGGGCGUAAAGCGUGCGCAGGCGGUUAUAUAAGACAGAUGUGAAAUCCCCGGGCUCAACCUGGGAACUGCAUUUGUGACUGUAUAGCUAGAGUACGGUAGAGGGGGAUGGAAUUCCGCGUGUAGCAGUGAAAUGCGUAGAUAUGCGGAGGAACACCGAUGGCGAAGGCAAUCCCCUGGACCUGUACUGACGCUCAUGCACGAAAGCGUGGGGAGCAAAACAGGAUUAGAUACCCUGGUAGUCCCACGCCCUAAACGAUGUCAACUGGUUGUUGGGUCUUCACUGACUCAGUAACGAA